AAAAUAAGUGAAAUGUUGUAACAUAACAAUAGUUGUUAAGUUUUUUAAGUGGUCUCUUAAAGAAUUAUGUUAAAGAAACAAGCACAACACUUUGAUAAAGUUAAGAGACAUAUAAUAAUGACCCUAACUUUAGAAGGUAUUUUACAACGACAUAUAUGUACUAGAAGAGAAUGCAAAAAGAGAAUGAAUUGUACAAAGAAGAGAAAAAUAUGGGUGAAGUUAUCAAAUUUGUUCAUGCUAUUUUCAUCCUUGUUUGUCUGAUUCUUGUUACAAUGAACGAUGGCAUGGAUGAUGAUUGUACCCGCGAUUUUGAUUGUCCAAAAUCUAUGUGCCCGUUUCCUUUAAAACCGGAGUGUUUUUGGUUGGGAAAUCCGACUGGAUUUAAAACUGGGACAUGUAUAUGUGUUUGACAGAUGUUUACAAAUUUCCAUGAGUUAAAGUUAUUGUUAUUGUAUUCUAUAAAUUUAAUUUUUCUUCUUAUUAUUUUAAUGGUCUUCUAGUUAUGGAUUUUGUAUUCUGAGAUGAUGAUAUAAUGAAAUGUAAGCGUUGGAUAGGCCGAGGCCAUAGUCCUUGAAGUCUUAUAUGUAUUUAUCUAAAGCUAAAAUAGGCUACCCAGCACUAAACGAGCUGGUCCAUGCGGGCCUUGACUUUUUAAGGCCGGACCCAAAAAUUCAUUUUUAAUGGGCUCUAGUUUUACUACACAGGCCCAAUCCUGUCUGAGUUGCAGAUUAGGAUUUUUUUUUUUGAUUUAUCGCCAUCGGUUUAGUUUGGUUCGGGAGUCAGUUUUGGCAUCAAGUGGUUCCAGCCCCCUUCCGAUCACAGUUGCGGGGAUCGAACUAUUGUUCUCCCUACCAAGUUCAGCGCCAAUCACCAUUGAACCAACUAACGAUUGGUUCAAAACUAGGAUUUUAAAUAAUCCAUCGAAUCUAACAAUUAAAAUCUAAAACAACACAUUAACUUAAUUCAAACUAUUCAAAAUGAAUCACAAAUUAUUCAAAAUGCAUUACAAAUUACCCUAUAUAGCACACAAAUUUAACCUCACUAUCACUACUAAUUUCCGAUUAGAGUAGAAACAAACUAUAAUUCUAUAUGUAAAUCAACAAAUUACAACAGGAAGCAUCAGAUUCAGGUCAACCCAUAAUUUCUAUAACAUAAAAUAUACAAAGCCAUGUGAACUUAAAAGAUGAGGUGGUCCUUAAGCCACCCAAAACAUGCUCUUGUAUUGGUGUGUGAUAAAAUUCACGAGACAUAUAUUGAUGGACAGUGUCCAAAUAUAAGAAAAACAAAACAUCUAUAUUCUGGAGUUAUGAAAUUUAUAGGAUUCACUUUAAAAAAAUUAAUAAAGAAAAGUAUUUAAAACUAUGAUAUAACUUCACUUAAAUUACAAUUUUCUUCACAGUAUUGAUGAUAUGCGAAAAUUUUGGAGUUAUGAAAUUUAAAGGAUUUUGAAUUUCCCAUGUGUUUGUUUGGUAUUAAAAACAAAACAUCUUUAUUCUGUCAUAAAAAGAAGAAUCGAAACGCAAGCAACUAAUGCACUCAAAGAAGAAUCGAAACGCAAGCAACUAAUGCACUCAAAGAAGAAUCAAAACAUCUAUUUCAUUUCAUAUAAGGCUAGCAACUCAAACUAACGCACUCAAACAUCAACAGAAGAAUCUAAACGCAAGCUGAGAACACGGCAUCACAAAACGCAAGUUGAGAAGAUUAAAAAGGCAAAAAACACGACAUCACAAAACGCAAAGUAACGAAACACAAACUGAGACUGAGAAGAUUAUAUUCUGUCAAAAACACAGUUAGAAAAACACUUAUGGAAAAAGAAGAAUCGAAGCUGAGAAGAUUCACAAAAUACAAUCUAUGAUGGACGAAGCUUGGAAGACAAAACGCAAAGCGGCGAAGCCCUAACCUUCAAGCAGCGGCGCAGAGUGUAACACAGAUAAAACCAACGGCAUCAUGUUUUGUGUGUGUUCCUAACUCAGUAUCAAACUAUCAGUAAAGUGUCUAGGUCAUUUUUUGGAACAAGUUGCAAUUGGGCUGUGUCGCAUGUUCGCGAAAAAAUAAAUUGGAAUCAACAGAGUCGCCAUCGAACUUUAUUUAUCCCACAAAGGAAAGGGAAAACAUCGAGAAAAACCAGAAGAAGGAAAAGAUAAGAAAAGGUCUUACGAUCAAAUAUCGAGUAAGAAGUCAGUUACGCAAGGGGAAGGUAUUAGCACCCCUCACGUCUGUGGUACUCCACAUGAUCCCCUUAUGUUUGUUCUAUUCUAAGGGUUAUUAACUAGUGCUUAAUUGCUAAGGAGGAAAAUGAAAGGAUUAUAAACAAUACGGGAGGACCGUAGUUUGGCUUCUUGAAAAUCUGUUGCGCGAUUUUGUUUUGAAUUUCUUUGGGUGCAUAAGCGCAUGGUAUGAUUUGUGACUGGCUCAUUAGUGUAUUGGUUUUGUACGAUUGUAUUUGAAUUUUGUAUGAAUGACAUGGUAAGGGCUGAAUGGUAGUCUGUUUGGUUGCUGGUAGUUUUCUACUGCAUAAUUAUGAAGAAGGGUCAUAGAUGUAUGUAUAGCAGGGCUGCAAUUGCAUUGGUGUAGGCUAAGGUUUGAAGCAUGAAGCUAUGACAUCUAAAACAAAUAAGUGGCAUGACAUGGUGAUAAGAUUAUGAAAGAAGAAGAAGUGGAAAUGGCUUGAAGAUGAAGAGGGAUGUCUCAUAAAUUAGAUCCAUGGUAGAGCCAAUCAGAUAUGGUCAUAGUCAAAGUCUUUGGUCAACAGUUUAACCAAGAGUCAAUUAUUGUAAACAUGUAGAUUUUCCUUUGUAUGUAAUGGCAUGUGAC